GACGGAGGGUGCUAGCGUUGUUCGGAAUGACUGGGCGUAAAGGGCGCGUAGGCGGCUCGUGAAGUCGGGUGUGAAAGCCCGGGGCUCAACCCCGGAACGGCAUCCGAUACUGGCGGGCUUGAGACCGGGAGAGGAGGGUGGAAUACCCAGUGUAGAGGUGAAAUUCGUAGAUAUUGGGUGGAACACCGGUGGCGAAAGCGGCUCUCUGGCCCGGAUCUGACGCUGAGGCGCGAAAGCGUGGGGAGCAAACAGGG
rnacentral:rRNA from 1 species